ACCUGGUUGAUCCUGCCAGUAGUCAUAUGCUUGUCUCAAAGCUUAAGCCAUGCAAGUGUAAGUUCACGCCACGCAUUAGAACGGGCGAAACCGCGAAUGGCUCAGGAACCGGACCUAAUCCUCGGGACCGUAAUCCUCCUCGGAGGCGAUGGAUAACUGUGGCAAUUCUAGAGCUAAUACAUGUGACACAGGCCGCGAUCGGUCGUCGCGCCGUGGUCGCCUCGCCUCGCGCGCUGGCACCCGCGACGGCCGUCUUGGGUCGCGGCGCUACAUAUUAGACUGAGACCGAUGCGCGAUUCCCGUCCUCCCUUCGUCGGGUCGCUCACGCGGCUCGGCGUCGGGGCUAAAGGUCGGCGCGCUCCGCUUUGGUGACUCUGGAUAACUCACUGGUCGAUCGCACGGGCUUCCACGCCCGGCGACGGGUCCCCCGAGGGUCCGCCCUAUCAACUGUCGACGGUCGGUUAAGUGCCUACCGUGGUUACAACGGGUAACGGGGAAUCGGGGUUCGAUUCCGGAGAGGGAGCAUGCGAAACGGCUACCACAUCCAAGGAAGGCAGCAGGCGCGCAAAUUACCCACUCCCGGCACGGGGAGGUAGUGACGAAAAAUAACGACGCGGGACUCUGUCGAGGCCCCGCGAUCGGAAUGAGUACACUUCAAAUCCGUUAACGAGGACCAACCGGAGGGCAAGUCUGGUGCCAGCAGCCGCGGUAAUUCCAGCUCCGGUAGCGUAUAUUAAAGUUGUUGCGGUUAAAAAGCUCGUAGUCCGAACUCGGGUUCGUGGUCGCUCACGCGGCCCCGGGGCGGCGGCGCCAUCGUCCAUCGUUGACUUUGGUCGUCCGUUCGCAUUCCCGGCCCUUUCCGCCGGUGUCAAUCGCUGUAUAGACGGCCGCGGGUCGGCUGGUGGUAGGCGYGACUCUUGGGUUCGGCUCUCUGUCGUUGCCUCUCUUCGGCUGUCGUCGGGGGGUCUCGGUCGGUGGGGACGUUCGGUCGGUGCAAACCGGUCGAUGUUUUCGUCUUCCUUGUUCUCUUCUUCUUCGGCUUUGGGAGGUUGGCGGUGGGGACCGUUCUCGGGAUCCGGGCUCUCGGGCCCCCUAUCGCUACGUCUCUCGCGUCGCCGUCGGUGAUUUCUCCUCCAAGGGUGCUCUUAACCGAGUGUCCGCGGCGGCCGGUACGUUCACUUUGAAAAAAUUAGAGUGCUCAGAGCGGGCUGUUCAAGCUUGCAUACGAUAAGCAUGGAAUGAUGGAAGAGGGCCUCGUCUACGUCUGUCGGUCUCCGUCUACGGCGAGGCAAUGAUCGAAGGGAGCGGUCGGGGCCACUCGUAUUGCGACGUUAGAGGUGAAAUUCUUGGAUCGUCGCAAGACGAACUGCAGCGAUGGCGUGUGGCAAGCACGUUUUCCUCGAUCAAGAGCGAAAGUCGGAGGUUCGAAGACGAUCAGAUACCGUCGUAGUUCCGACCGUAAACGAUGCCGACCGGCGAUCCGCCGGCGUUCGCUUCCAUGACCCGGCGGGUAGCCUGCGGGAAACCAGAGUUCGGUUCCGGGGGGAGUAUGGUUGCAAAGCUGAAACUUAAAGGAAUUGACGGAAGGGCACCACCAGGAGUGGAGCCUGCGGCUUAAUUUGACUCAACACGGGAAAACUCACCCGGUCCGGACACCGGUAGGAUUGACAGAUCGAUAGCUCUUUCUCGAUUCGGUGGGUGGUGGUGCAUGGCCGUUCUUAGUUGGUGGAGCGAUCCGUCUGGUUGAUUCCGAUAACGAACGAGACUCCGGCCUGCUAACUAGUGCGCCGAUGUCAGUGCGGUCGGCCGCAUCCCGCGGUCGCCGUGUGCGGGCUCGACGGCUCGAUUUUUGAUCGUCCGCUUCGGGUCCGGGUCGGUUUCUCACGCACUUCUUAGAGGGACGGGUGGCAGAAAGCCACACGAGGCGGAGCGAUAACAGGUCUGUGAUGCCCUUAGAUGUCCGGGGCCGCACGCGCGCUACACUGGAGGUAUCAGCGGGGACUUCGCCCCGGCCCGAGAGGGUCGGGAAACCUCUCAACCACCUCCCGUGAUAGGGAUCGGGGCCUGUAACCAACCCCGUGAACGAGGAAUUCCCGGUAGGCGCGGGUCAACAGCCCGCGUCGAUCACGUCCCUGCCCUUUGUACACACCGCCCGUCGCUACUACCGAUCGAACGGUCCGGUGAGGUCCUCGGAUCUGGCCGACGACGCCGCCGGGUUGUGCGGGCUCCUCGCGGGUCCACUCGCCUCGGCGUUCGAUGCCUGGAGAAGACGACCGAACCCGAUCGUUUAGAGGAAGUAAAAGUCGUAACAAGGUUUCCGUAGGUGAACCUGCGGAAGGAUCAUUA
rnacentral:rRNA from 1 species